GGGGCUGAUUCUGGAUUCGACGGGAUUUGCGAAACCCAAGGUGCAUGCCGAGGGGCGGUUGGCCUCGUAAAAAGCCGCAAAAAAAUAGUCGCAAACGACGAAAACUACGCUUUAGCAGCUUAAUAACCUGCUUAGAGCCCUCUCUCCCUAGCCUCCGCUCUUAGGACGGGGAUCAAGAGAGGUCAAACCCAAAAGAGAUCGCGCGGAUGCCCUGCCUGGGGUUGAAGCGUUAAAACGAAUCAGGCUAGUCUGGUAGUGGCGUGUCCGUCCGCAGGUGCCAGGCGAAUGUAAAGACUGACUAAGCAUGUAGUACCGAGGAUGUAGGAAUUUCGGACGCGGGUUCAACUCCCGCCAGCUCCACCA
rnacentral:tmRNA from 36 species